CUUCUAAUCCACCAACUUAGUGUUGAUGAAGACUAAACAGAGAGAUCACAGCUUCUUUCUACUUGCUGUAGCUCACAGUUACUCUACACUGCAGAUAUGACGCCUCUGUUCAUCUCAGUGCUGCUGGCUGCUGUGUGCCUUGAAUGCAGAGCACAAAAAGACAACGUGCUGCAACCAAAAGGAGACGAGACUGCUGCUGAAGGAGACACAGUAACACUUGACUGUCUGUAUAACAGCAGCAGCCUAACAGGUUCUUAUAUCUUCUGGUACAAACAGGAUGGAAACAACAGCCCCAAAUAUAUCCUGAGCCGUGUUAGUGGGAAUGAAGGAAACACAGCAGACGAGUUCAAGGAGAGAUUUUCAUCCACACUGAAUUCCAAAGACAAGUCAGUUCCUCUGAAGAUCCAGAAGCUUCAGCUGUCUGACUCUGCUGUGUACUACUGUGCUCUGAGGCCCACAGUGACA